CUGAAGAGCAGAAUCAGCGAGUGAGCACAGGAUGCCAAGAGUGUCACUGCUCCGGGAUGGGAUCUUUAAAUGCUGGAGACCGCUGGAUUCACCAUAAGCUGCUGAUCAUGAGACCAUAUGGUUGGGGGGCCACCUGACGCCUCAGCAGCCCCUGAACACGGGACUCUGGGGCUCUGCCUGGGGAAGCCUGCAGCUCCUGGAAUCCUCGCAACCACUGGGAGCAGGGUGCCAUAAGGAAGUAGAGUCCCAGACAGUCAAAGAGAGUGCUCCAGGCCAUAAAGUCAACAGGUAAUGGAGGAGACCCUGGAACUACGUCCAGGUCAUGUCAGGGUCCAGUCUUCUUCCAGGAUAGAAAACUGCCUCUCUAAGGCCACAUUGUGUCCUCAGCAACAAGGCAGAAAGUGACAGCUUCCUCUCAUCACUGUCCCUCCUGCUCUAGUCAGACACCUGUCCCUGGACUGCCAGACGCCCCUGCUACCACCCCAUCCUGCUCUUUCCUGGUCUGUAGCCCCCACACCCAUCACUUGCUGACCAAGGACAAAGAUUGGACUUUCCAAGUAGGAAUGUCUAGUCUCAAAGGACAACCGAAGUGCGGUUGGGGACCCACUUCCACGACCUCAAGUCUUUGCGGCCAUCACUGACCUCAGCUGGAUGAGUCCAUAGUUUCCAUGUACAUGUUCUUGUAUAAUUCAACCGCGUGUAUUUCACCGCGCCUUCAAUUAAAAGCUUUUUCCUGAUAUACCCUGAAGACUGGCUGUUGUUAUCAUUGUGAUUUGUCUGACAGGUAAAGAAAUCUUAAAAUAAAGUUUUUGUGUCCUUCA
rnacentral:lncRNA from 13 species